rnacentral:rRNA from 1 species
UAUCUCCUACGGGGGGCAGCAGUGGGGGAUAUUGCACAAUGGAGGGAACUCUGAUGCAGCGACGCCGCGUAUAGGACGAAGGUCUUCGGAUUGUAAACUAUUGUCGUUAGGGAAGAGAAAGGACAGUACCUAAGGAGGAAGCUCCGGCUAACUACGUGCCAGCAGCCGCGGUAAUACGUAGGGAGCAAGCGUUAUCCGGAUUUAUUGGGUGUAAAGGGUGCGUAGACGGGAAAUUAAGUUAGUUGUGAAAUCCCUCGGCUCAACUGAGGAACUGCAACUAAAACUGGUUUUCUUGAGUGUUGGAG